AGCAGCCGCGGUAAUUCCAGCUCCAAUAGCGUAUAUUAAAGUUGUUGCAGUUAAAAAGCUCGUAGUUGAAUUUCGGGGUUAGUAGGUUGGUCAUGCCUCUGGUAUGUACUGGUCUCACUGAUUCCUCCUUCCUGAUGAACCUUAAUGCCAUUAAUUUGGUGUUUUGGGGAAUUUGGACUGUUACUUUGAAAAAAUUAGAGUGUUUAAAGCAAGCUAACGCUUGAAUACAUUAGCAUGGAAUAAUGAAAUAGGACGUUCGAUCCUAUUUUGUUGGUUUCUAGGAUUGACGUAAUGAUUAAUAGGGAUAGUUGGGGGCAUUAGUAUUCAAUUGUCAGAGGUGAAAUUCUUGGAUUUAUUGAAGACUAACUACUGCGAAAGCAUUUGCCAAGGAUGUUUUCAUUAAUCAAGAACGAAAUGUUAGGGGAUCGAAGACGAUCAGAUACCGUCGUAGUCUUAACCAUAAACUAUGCCGACUAGGGAUCGGAUGAUGUUAAUUUUUUCAAUGACUCAUUCGGCGCCU
rnacentral:rRNA from 1 species